rnacentral:lncRNA from 1 species
GUUAGAGGUAUAGGGGGAGGGUUGAGAUCUCACAAACAUGUUUAACCCCGCCGCAUUUUUGCGCCUGUCCCAAGUCAGGAGCCGCUGGCCUUUGUUAGUCUUGUGUUAUUUUAAUUUUAGUUUCUUGUGUACAAUUUGGAAAUUAGUAUGGCGUUCAUUAUCACUGGACUAGUAUAUAUUUGUUUAGGGGCCAGCUGAAGGACGCCUCCGGGUGCGGGAAUUUCUCGCUACAUUGAAGACCUGUUGGUGACCCUCUGCUGUUGUUUUUUAUUUGGUCGGGUUGUUGUCUCUUUGACACAUUCCCCAUUUCCAUUCUCAAUUUU